CAGGAGAUAGUUUAAUUUAAAAUUUUAAUUUUGGAGAUUAAUGAUAAGAGUAAUCUUUUUCCUGA
rnacentral:tRNA from 1 species